CCACCUAAUUUUUGUAUUUUUAGUAGAGAUCGUGUUUCACCAUGUUGGUCAGGCUGGUCUUGAGCCUCUGACCUCAAGUGAUCCACCUGCCUUGGCUCCCCAACUAUCUUAUUCUAAGCAAUAAUUCAUUUGUAAAAAUGUCUUAGGCCCUAGUCUAUGUCAAGCACUCUCUUAGACAGGAGAUACAGCCACCUAGACAAGCAUGCUGGAGGAACAGGCAAAAAUCCCACCCUCCUGGAGCUCCCUUUCCAGAGGGGAAUCCAUAAAUCACAGGUGUGAUGUGUUAGGUGCAUUGUUCCAAAUGUACAUUAAAAUACGUGACUUUCAAUAUACAAUGUGUCCAUCGAUGUCACUUCCUGCAGUCAUCUUGUGUAACUCCCUUGGUAUGCUUACCUAGGAUUGGGAAACACUAUGUUACACAAUGCGAACCUAUUCUUAGGCCAUGUGAGAAAUCCAGGAAUGGUGGAUUUCUUGGGGGAUUUUGGUAGUUUUGUUUCUAUUUUGGAUCAGAGCACGGAAGUUAGGAAGUUACUUAAGAGAAGCAUUCUUCUUAUAAACACGAAGUGAACACCCUAGAGAGUUUCAUUUCAUUUGGGGGGAAGUUCCACAGUCUGUUUUUUUUUUUUUCUUCUUCUUCAGUCCUUUGAUCUGGUUGCUUAUAGCCAUUUCAGUGCAGGA